rnacentral:rRNA from 1 species
GAUGAACGCUGGCGGCGUGCCUAAUACAUGCAAGUCGAGCGAACGGACGAGAAGCUUGCUUUUCUGAUGUUAGCGGCGGAAGGGUGAGUAACACGUGGAUAACUUACCUAUAAGACUGGGAUAACUUCGGGAACCCGGAGCUAAUACCGGAUAAUAUUUUGAACCGCAUGGUUCAAAAGUGAAAGACGGUCUUGCUGUCACUUAUAGAUGGAUCCGCGCUGCAUUAGCUAGUUGGUAAGGUAACGGCUUACCAAGGCAACGAUGCAUAGCCGACCUGAGAGGGUGAUCAGCCACACUGGAACUGAGACACGGUCCAGACUCCUACGGGAGGCAGCAGUAGGGAAUCUUCCGCAAUGGGCGAAAGCCUGACGGAGCAACGCCGCGUGAGUGAUGAAGGUCUUCGGAUCGUAAAACUCUGUUAUUAGGGAAGAACAUAUGUGUGAGUAACUGUGCACGUCUUGACGGUACCUAAUCAGAAAGCCACGGCUAACUACGUG